UGUUUAGCAAAAAGGUUAAUGCGUUAGCUUUGUAAGCUGAAGGUUGUCAGUUCGAAUCUGAUA
rnacentral:tRNA from 1 species